GUGGGGAAUCUUCCGCAAUGGACGAAAGUCCGACGGAGCAACGCCGCGUGAGUGAUGAAGGUCUUCGGAUUGUAAAGCUCUGUUAAUCGGGACGAAAGAGCCUAGUGUGAAUAAUGCUAGGAAGUGACGGUACCGGAAUAGAAAGCCACGGCUAACUACGUGCCAGCAGCCGCGGUAAUACGUAGGUGGCAAGCGUUGUCCGGAAUUAUUGGGCGUAAAGCGCGCGCAGGCGGAUCUGCCAGUCUGUCUUAAAAGUUCGGGGCUUAACCCCGUGAUGGGAUGGAAACUACAGAUCUAGAGUAUCGGAGAGGAAAGUGGAAUUCCUAGUGUAGCGGUGAAAUGCGUAGAUAUUAGGAAGAACACCAGUGGCGAAGGCGACUUUCUGGACGAAAACUGACGCUGAGGCGCGAAAGCCAGGGGAGCGAACGGGAUUAGAUACCCCGGUAGUCC
rnacentral:rRNA from 1 species